UACAGAGGGUGCAAGCGUUGUUCGGAAUUAUUGGGCGUAAAGCGCGUGUAGGCGGCUUUGCAAGUCGGGUGUGAAAGCCCUCAGCUCAACUGAGGGAGUGCGCCCGAAACUGCAGAGCUUGAGUACCGGGGAGGGUGGCGGAAUUCCCCAAGUAGAGGUGAAAUGCGUAGAUAUCUGGAGGAACACCGGUGGCGAAGGCGACAUCCUGGACCGGUAUUGACGCUGAGGCGCGAAAGCCAGGGGAGCAAACGGG
rnacentral:rRNA from 1 species